UGUUGUAAAGACACAGGGAGCCAAUGGAUAUUAUUCCCAUAACUGGCUGGUUUGGCAGUGAGAUCAAAGGAACAUGAGAGCCUGAGAAAAUAUUCUUCUUCUGCAACUAAAUGUGUAGGCAGCCAACCUGCUCCCAGGCUUCAGUAACAUUGCUCUUGAGCUGGGUGCGAGGAAACUUGCAAAAGUACCACAGAACCAAAGAACUUUACGACACAGAAGGAGGUUUGAAGUGAUUGAUGGUUCCAUCUCUGUAACGCACUCAGUGAUUCCUCUGCAAACCUCAAUAAGAUAAAAUUGAAAGAAAGAAGGAA